AGUUCGGAUCGGAGUCUGCAACUCGACUCCGUGAAGCUGGAUUCGCUAGUAAUCGCGCAUCAGCCAUGGCGCGGUGAAUACGUUCCCGGGCCUUGUACACACCGCCCGUCAAGCCAUGGGAGCCGGGGGUACCUGAAGUCCGUAACCGCGAGGAUCGGCCUAGGGUAAAACUGGUGACUGGGGCUAAGUCGUAACAAGGUAAC
rnacentral:rRNA from 1 species